rnacentral:rRNA from 1 species
GACGAACGCUGGCGGCGUGCUUAACACAUGCAAGUCGAACGGGAUUUAGUAGACAGAAGCCUCGGCUAAAGAUUACUAAUGAGAGUGGCGAACGGGUGAGUAACGCGUGAGCAACCUGCCUAUGACAGUGGGAUAGCCUCGGGAAACCGGGUUUAAUACCGCAUAAAAUCGUAGAAACACAUGUUUCAACGGUCAAAGAUUUAUCGGUCAUAGAUGGGCUCGCGUCUGAUUAGCUAGUUGGUGAGAUAACAGCCCACCAAGGCGACGAUCAGUAGCCGGUCUGAGAGGAUGAACGGCCACAUUGGAACUGAGACACGGUCCAAACUCCUACGGGAGGCAGCAGUGGGGAAUAUUGCACAAUGGGGGAAACCCUGAUGCAGCGACGCCGCGUGAACGAAGAAGGUAUUCGUAUCGUAAAGUUCUGUCCUAUGGGAAGAUAAUGACAGUACCAUAGAAGAAAGCUCCGGCUAAAUACGUG